GGUUUAUUGAAAUUUAAUUUUAAAUCAAAUCUGCUCAAUGAAUUUAAUUUAAAUAGCUGCAGUAUAAUUAACUGUACAAAGGUAGCAUAAUAAAUAGAUUUUUAAUUAAAAUCUAGAAUGAAAGAUUUAAUGAAAUAUAAACUUUAUUAAUUUAAAUUUAAAUUAAAUUUAUUUAUUAAGUAAAAAUACUUAAAUAAAAUAUAUAGACGAGAAGACCCUAUAAAAUUUUAUAUAUAUAAAUAAAUAUUUUAUAAAUUAUUUUUUAAAUAAUUUAUUUAUAAAUAUUUAAUUGGGGAAAUUAAAAAAUUUAAUUAAUUUUUUUUAAUUAAUUUACAAUAAAUUAAAUGAAAUGCAUUUUUGAACUUUAUAAAUUUAUAAAUAUAAAAAAAUAAAUUACUUUAGGGAUAACAGCAUAAUUUUUUUUAAAAGUUCAUAUUUAAAAAAAAGUUUAU
rnacentral:rRNA from 1 species